GAUAAGAGACCUAAUGUGACAUUGAAGAAGGCACAUAUUACCAUUUUUAAAAGAAUAGAUCUUGCUUGCAGUCUUAGAGGCCAGGGAGUAAGACUUUGUAUCAUGGUAAAAAUCUAGACUAUAUUAGCACAGGGAUGGUUUUUUAACUUCUGAGAAAGGAAAUAUUGAUCCCAGAGAACUAACCUGAUUUCAACAACAAGAUGAGAGAACUGAAGUUCCAAGGGAGAAAGCAACUUGCCAAUGUCACCCAGCUGCAAAACAACAGUCACACAGAUCUCUCGAUGCCAAAAUCAUGUGCUAUACUGCCACCAUUAAUUAUACAACCUCAAGGAAAAUAAUGUCUUGUGGUCUACUGGAAAAAUUGCUGGAUAUGGAAUAAAAAAUUUUGGAUCUAACCUCAUCUGCUUCCUCAUCUGCAAAACAAGAGAAAUGGAUCAUAUGACCAAAAAUAGAUUCUAGUUCUUUUGGGAUCAGAAGACAAUUAAAAUUUCCCCAUAAUACUAUCAUGAUAAUAAUCCAGAAAAUGUAAUCACUUUGACUUUGUUUGUCUUGGCAAAAGUUUGUCUAAUGUUAUAUUAAUUUAUCUUGGGGGGAACCAUUUAUUUUAUUUAUAUAUUUUUGUCUAUAUCUUCAUCUAUAAUGUCAUGUUAAGUUCAUUAUAUUAUGUUACAUACCACAUUAUAUUAUAAUUUGUGAU